rnacentral:lncRNA from 1 species
UGAGUUAGGUGUACUAAUAACAUGAGCUAACUGACAUACAAUAGUAGAUUUUCUGAAAGUUACUAUUUAUGGAAAUCAACUAUAAAAGGAAAGGUACGUUUCCAUUUCGGGGGGAUAGUUAUGCUCUAAAAACUAAAGUUACUAUUUAUGGAAAUCAACUAUAAAAGGAAAGGUAAGUUUCCAUUUUUGGGGGAUAUUUAUGCUCUAAAAACGAAAGUUACUAUUUAUGGAAAUCUACUAUAAAAGGAAUGGUAAGUUUCCAUUUCAGGGGGGAAUGAUAAGUUUCCAUUUCGGGGGGAUUCUUUUUCUGAAAAUUCAACACUCAUUGCCACAUGUCGCGACAUCAUUGCUCCUAAGUCACUAAUCUGUCCAUGUCAUUAAAGUUUUACUUUUUUUUCCACCAUUUCAAAACUUUAAAAAUGCAUAGAAAAUAGCUCCGGUGUCGGAAAAAUUCACCGAAAAAUGUCACGGACCACUGGUGAGACCCACUUCACAACUGCGUCUGAAUUUUAGUCAUCGGAUUCACAACGUGCCUACUAAUGUAGUAUAACUUGUUUGGUAGGUUAUAUGCUAGUGUACAACUUUGUGAACCAACUAUAUAGAGGAAGCAAAAUUUUCAAAAAUCUCGUGAAAUAGGAUGUGAUCGGUAUAGUAAAAUAUGGCUACGGUAGAAAAAUCACUUUAAUUCGCCAAUGUUUGAGCUCCGAUCGAAGCGGUCAACCUUAUUUACGCUUAUGCUUCACUAAGAAGAGCCCUAUCCUCAGGUGGUAAACGUCCCCAAAGUUUUACAUGGGUGGUCAUGUCUCAUCUAUGUGAGACUUUAUUGUGUUGAAGAAUCGACCAAACUAGGCCACGAAGAGGUAGGUAAGAUAGUUUUCGUGUGAUAAGUGAAGAUGAAUUAGGGUUGGCCGCUUUGAUCGUGCCCCGAAUAUUGUUGAAUCUAGUUGAAUUUUAUACUAUAGCUAUGUUUCACUAUAAUGAUCACAUCAGAUGGUCAAUUUUCAUUUUGUGAAUUUUCAUUGAUUCAAUCUCAAGAACAAUUUUGAUUUUCAGAAUGUCUACUAUUUUGUGAUUUUGCUCAUCCAAAUGGUAGACAUCUCUCAUGAAAAUAGUAGUUGUGUCUUAUGUUAAAUGUAGACUUUGCAACUUUUUCCUUUAAUGAGUUCAAUAUCAAAAACCAUUUUGAUUUCCAGAAAGUCUACUUUUUUGUGAUUUUGCUUAUCUAAAUGGUAAACAUUUCUCAUGAAAAUAGUAGUUGUGUCUUAUGUUAAAUGUAAACUUUACAACUUUCCCCUUCAAUUAUUGAUUCAAUCUCAAGAACAAUUUUGAUUUCCAGAAAGUCUACUUUUUUGUGAUUUUACUUAUCUAAAUGGUAGACAUUUCUCAUGAAAAUAGUAAUUGUGUCUUAUGUUAAAUGUACACACUACUACAAAAAUAUUAUCGUACAACACUCAUCAGACAACCUUUUAGGGUUCCCUACUUGUCUGAUGAAGUGAACUGUUAUAUAUAACGCAAAGUUUCAAAGUUUUGUUGUCUAACGACACGAAAUUGUCAGGUUAUAUUUCAAGAGUUCAAAACACAACAAUGAUGCUAAUUUUCUGUUGUAUGAUUUAUGAAAAUUUUGACGGAAUGAUUCCCCCCAUCACCAAAUUGAAAGUCGUGCAAGAUGCAAAAUGUUUGGAUAAUAGACUUUUAUUUCUUAGUUGUAUGAUUUUGUUACAAUUUAUACUAGGUAAUACCUAGUGCAAGUUUAGAAAAUAUAUACAACAGUUUAAAACAUUAUGUUGUGUGAUUGGAAAAUUUGGUGACAUGCCAAAGUCGUUUUGGCUCUAAAGUUUGCCUCCAUUGAUUUGGUGUGCAAUCAAAUCAAUAACUACGACUCAAUCAAAACCUAUAGCUCAACCAAAAUAUCCCUCUCUCGACAUCACACUCUCUCAACCAUUCAAGCCACAUAUAACAUUCUUGUUCAUUCCCUCGCGCCUCUGAGCUCUCUCCAUCCCAAAAACACCUAGCUCUCUCUCUCUCUAAACACCCAGCCUCUCUCUCCCAGCAAACUCUCGAGCCCUCAACUAUCUCUCCCUAACACCCGCGUGAGCCCUCGAUCACUUCUCUCUCACUCAGCCCUCUUCCAUAACAUUCUCAGCAAUCUCCCCCAAUUUCAAAAACCUAAUUUUGAUUUCAGAUCGAUUCUUUUCUGGACAUGAUGAUGUCACUGAUGUCAUCGCGACAAUCUUGAUAUGGAAUCGUAUGUGUUUUCAUCAUGGUCGUCAGAGAAUCUAGUAAUCUUCCCGUCAUGGUCUCCUCUUUGCCCUAACAUUUUGAUUUUCUGAAUUUUGGGAUUUUGAUUUCUGAUGCUAUUGCUUCCUUUGUUGCAGAUGAAAAUCAAAAUUGUGGUCAAAGACAGAGGAAUAGGAAGUUGCAGUGCAAACCAGAGCCCCAAAUUGAAGAGUUN